GAUGAACGCUAGCUACAGGCUUAACACAUGCAAGUCGCGGGGCAGCAUGGGGGUUGCUUGCAACCCCUGAUGGCGACCGGCGCACGGGUGAGUAACGCGUAUCCAACCUGCCCUUCACCACGGGAUAACCCGGCGAAAGUCGGACUAAUACCGUAUGUUGUCCAUUGACGGCAUCCGAUUUGGACGAAAGGCUUGCGGUGAAAGGAUGGGGAUGCGUCCGAUUAGCUUGACGGCGGGGUAACGGCCCACCGUGGCUACGAUCGGUAGGGGUUCUGAGAGGAAGGUCCCCCACACUGGAACUGAGACACGGUCCAGACUCCUACGGGAGGCAGCAGUGAGGAAUAUUGGUCAAUGGGCGUAAGCCUGAACCAGCCAAGUAGCGUGCAGGAUGACGGCCCUAUGGGUUGUAAACUGCUUUUAUGCGGGGAUAAAGUGGCCCACGUGUGGGCUUUUGCAGGUACCGCAUGAAUAAGGACCGGCUAAUUCCGUG
rnacentral:rRNA from 1 species